CGGACGGGUGAGUAACGCGUGGGUAACCUGCCUCAUACAGGGGGAUAACAAUUAGAAAUGGCUGCUAAUACCGCAUAAGACCACAGCACCGCAUGGUGCAGGGGUAAAAACUCCGGUGGUAUGAGAUGGACCCGCGUCUGAUUAGCUGGUUGGUGGGGUAACGGCCUACCAAGGCGACGAUCAGUAGCCGACCUGAGAGGGUGACCGGCCACAUUGGGACUGAGACACGGCCCAA
rnacentral:rRNA from 1 species